GCUGCAUGGCUGUCGUCAGCUCGUGUCGUGAGGAUGUUGGGUUAAGUCCGUAACGAGCGCAACCCUUGUCCUUAGUUACCAGCACGUUAUGGUGGGCGACUCUAAGGAGACUGCCGGCGACAAACCGGACGGAAGGUGGGGGAUGACGUCAAGUCAUCAUGGCCCUUACGGCCUGGGCUACACACGUGCUACAAUGGUCGGUACAAAGGGUUGCCAAGCCGCGAGGUGGAGCUAAUCCCAUAAAACCGAUCGUAGUCCGGAUCGCAGUCUGCAACUCGACUGCGUGAAGUCGGAAUCGCUAGUAAUCGUGAAUCAGAAUGUCACGGUGAAUACGUUCCCGGGCCUU
rnacentral:rRNA from 1 species